UACGGAGGGUGCGAGCGUUGUUCGGAAUCACUGGGCGUAAAGCGCGUGUAGGCGGCCCACUAAGUCUGAUGUGAAAGCCCGGGGCUCACCCCCGGAAGUGCAUUGGAAACUGGUGGACUCGAGUCCCGGAGAGGAGAGUGGAAUUCCUGGUGUAGCGGUGAAAUGCGUAGAUAUCAGGAGGAACACUGGUGGCGAAGGCGGUUCUCUGGGCAUUACCUGACGCUGAGGAGCGAAAGUGUGGGGAGCGAACAGG
rnacentral:rRNA from 1 species